GACAGUCCUGAGACAAACAGGAACAGGUUCCUCAACUCAGCUAGUGCGAACAACACGCUGCAGAAAAUCAGUCUUAUACUAACGGCUAGUAGAAAAUAACGCUCCGUUGAAAGAUAUAGGCUAGUUGCACAUUGGUGGGAGUUCGCCGAUUUGAUUAGUGCAUGCGUAUACCUGUACGAGUACCAUACAAAACAAUCUAACUGAUUAGCAAACUAGAACAACCUGUAGUGGUAUAAGUGACUUACUUAGACUUGCCCUUGGCCACUGUUUUUCGCCAUGAAAAGAAAAAAAGAAAGGACAUUCAGACAAUGAGUUUAAUUUCACAAUCUGUUGUGCUGGUCUUCAGGAAAACAACCUUUGAGAACCAAAUCAGUGGUUUUCAGUCACAGGGCAGGGGAAUGGCCUACACCCAGCAUCAAUCACACUUUCAUUAAGAGGAAGUCAAAUUUGUGUAGGGGGAUGAAGAGAAGGAACGAACGAUGUUGAAGGGCUCGGGACAGAAUGAGGAAGAGAGAGGAGGAGAAGCGGGAGGGAAGUGAUACUCGGGAGAGGAAGACGAUCUUUGUCUAUGGCGGAAAUGAGCGGUUGGGCAGACCACUCUGUCAUAACCGAGCCAGCUGUCAGGAAACGCGCGGACGGACCUGCGUCACGCAGCACCGUUUGAGAAAGCACUGUGACCACCACCCACUUGCUGCAAUUUGGAGCCUGCUAUUUACAAGCCAAAUAAGGACUCGGCCUGCUUGGCUGGUUGCUGCUGGAGGCCUUUAUUCCAAAGCACGUCAUUUUGGCUGUCUCUGAGAGGAAAAAAAAUUGCAAGAAUUUGGAGAGAAAACAGCCGGUAGAAAAGCAAAUAACGGCUCCUAACAAUAACACCGCGUGCCUGCGACGCAUCAGUUAUUCUGAAAGAGACAUUACGUAGCGCGCGUUGGUGUGAUGGUCAGAAACGGUGCCGUAAAUGAUUCACAAAAUCGUGGUGAAUAAAAACAUAUCGGCUUUGAUAUUA